rnacentral:hammerhead_ribozyme from 1 species
AUCUAACUGACGAGUCCAAAAUAGGACUAAUCGUGCGUCCUGAAU